UACGGGGGGGGCAAGCGUUGUUCGGAAUUACUGGGCGUAAAGGGCUCGUAGGCGGCCAACUAAGUCAGACGUGAAAUCCCUCGGCUUAACCGGGGAACUGCGUCUGAUACUGGAUGGCUUGAGUUUGGGAGAGGGAUGCGGAAUUCCAGGUGUAGCGGUGAAAUGCGCAGAUAUCAGGAAGAACACCAAUGGCGAAGGCAGCUCUCUGGGACGGUACUGACGCUGAGACGCGAAAGCGUGGGGAGCGAACAGG
rnacentral:rRNA from 1 species